CUUUGCAGACGACUUAAAU
rnacentral:snRNA from 1 species